GAUGAACGCUGGCGGCGUGCUUAACUCAUGCAAGUCGAACGGGAAACCUUUUAUUGAAGCUUCGGCAGAUUUAGCUGGUUUCUAGUGGCGGACGGGUGAGUAACGCGUGGGUAACCUGCCUUAUACAGGGGGAUAACAGUCAGAAAUGGCUGCUAAUACCGCAUAAGCGCACAGAGCUGCAUGGCUCAGUGUGCAAAACUCCGGUGGUAUAAGAUGGACCCGCGUUGGAUUAGCUGGUUGGUGGGGUAACGGCCCACCAAGGCGACGAUCCAUAGCCGGCAUGAGAGGGUGAACGGACACAUUGGGACUGAGACACGGCCCAGAAUACUACGGGAGGCAGCAGUGGGGAAUAUUGCAAAAUGGGGGAAACCAUGAUGCAGCGACGCCGCGUGAAGGAAGAAGUAUCUCGGUAUGUAAACUUCUAUCAGCAGGGAAGAUAAUGACGGUACCUGACUAAGAAGCCCCGGCUAACUACGUG
rnacentral:rRNA from 1 species